GGCGAGUCUUAGGGGCCUGGGGAGCUGGCGCUGAAGCUUCUUGCCAGGUUGGCUGGUGACACCCGGUGUGGCUGGGCCCCGCGGCAGCGGAGGGACCUGCCCGCCUUGUGGGUUCCUCGGCCGGAGUCGGCGGAGCCUAGCGGGACGGGGCGACUGCGGGGGGCGCCUCCGAGAGAAGCCGGAGGUGUUGCGGGGAGGCUGCUGGGGGACGCUCGAGUAGGCUCCGGGUUCGCAACCCAGGGCCCGGCAGAGCACCUGCAGGGCCCAAGAAGUGGGCUGCUGAAGGACCAGAGACACCGGGAGGGAGCUGCCUGUGGCCCCAAGUUGCUGACAGUGCCAGAGCUUGUUUGUACCUCUCGGAAAUUGGCUGGGACCUUGGAGGAUCAUGUCCGGCACCAGCAGCCCCGAGGCGGUGAAGAAGCUGCUGGAGAAUAUGCAGAGCGACUUGCGCGCCUUGUCAUUGGAGUGCAAGAAGAAAUUCCCACCUGUCAAAGAGGCAAUUGUUCUUUGUUUUCGACUACACUUCACAAAAGAUAAUAUUACAAAUAAUACAGCUGCUGCUACAGUGCGACAAGUUGUUACUGUUGUUUUUGAGAGGAUGGUUGCUGAAGAUGAACGACACAGAGAUAUUAUAGAACAACCAGUACUGGUACAAGGAAAUAGUAACAGAAGAUCUGUCAGUACCCUCAAACCUUGUGCUAAAGAUGCAUAUAUGCUUUUCCAGGAUCUUUGUCAGUUGGUUAAUGCUGAUGCUCCUUAUUGGCUAGUGGGCAUGACAGAAAUGACUCGGACGUUUGGCCUCGAAUUACUUGAGUCAGUCCUCAAUGAUUUUCCGCAGGUCUUUUUACAACACCAAGAAUUUAGUUUCCUCCUCAAAGAAAGGGUAUGUCCUCUUGUGAUAAAGCUCUUUUCUCCAAAUAUAAAGUUCAGACAAGGUUCCAGCACCUCGUCUUCUCCAGCACCAGUUGAAAAACCAUAUUUUCCUAUCUGCAUGCGUUUGCUGAGAGUAGUAUCUGUUCUGAUUAAGCAGUUUUACAGUCUUUUGGUAAGUGCUAAUUUCCUUAUGUAUUUGUGUAUAUAGUUGCAUGUUGUGCCCUUUGUAAAAAGUGGUCUGUUGUAGUGCGUUUAGUUUUUUCAAUUCAGUUCAACAGAAUUUUUUUUGAGUACCUACAUGUAUUCUAGGUACUCUAAAAGUUUGUUCUAUCCUUUCUUGAAUCUUGCUUAUGUUUAUAGAGUAUUCAUAAUGUGUGAAGCAGCGUCAUUGCCUGUUGUCUGAAGGCAGCAUAGGAAUUGUGGUUUUGGAACUCAGCUUCUUAGCUAAUUGUCUGUAUCUCAUUUGAAGGAUUAUUAAAAUUAUAGUCUCUUCAGUUUAUUCUGCUUUCAUUUAUACUGUUUCAUAUGUCUUAACAGAUUAAAGCAAAGACAUUAAAGAUUUGGUCAAAUCUAGGAUUAGAAACCAAUUAUUUUGACUUACAGUCCAAUAUUGUAUCUAUUUUGCAUAAGUUAAUGGAUGCCUAUUAUGUUGUGAUAUUUUGGAUGAUAAUUCUAUUUACGUAAUGCUUUAGUCGUAAACAUUCAAAUACUGUUUCUCAGAAAAAAUAAUGCACCAUGUUUUUUUAAAAUUCUGUGUUAAGUCAAAUUCAGCAUUCUGUAAUUUUUUCACAUUUAUAUUCUUCUUCUUCUUCUUUUUUUUUUUUUGAGAUGGAGUCUC
rnacentral:sRNA from 1 species